AAAAUACUCCCUCCGUCCGGAAAUAAUUAUCAUAGAAGUAGAUGUAUCUAGACUUAUUUUAGUUAUAGAUACAUUCAUUUUAUACAUUUCUAGGACAAGUAUUUUCGGACGGAGGGAGUAUGUU
rfam:Hordeum vulgare subsp. vulgare, WGS project CAJW01000000 data, contig: morex_contig_244969